UACGAAGGGGGCUAGCGUUGUUCGGAAUUACUGGGCGUAAAGCGCGCGCAGGCGGCCAUUCAAGUCAGGGGUGAAAGCCCAGAGCUCAACUCUGGAACUGCCCUUGAAACUGUAUGGCUUGAGUAUGAGAGAGGUGUGUGGAAUUCCCAGUGUAGAGGUGAAAUUCGUAGAUAUUGGGAAGAACACCGGUGGCGAAGGCGGCUCACUGGCUCAUUACUGACGCUCAGGCGCGACAGCGUGGGGAUCAAACAGG
rnacentral:rRNA from 1 species